UCCAUCCCCAUCUGGCUGAUUUGGUGAAGCAAACAUCCAUGUUCACAAAACUCUUCUCUUUUUUUACUGUUCUUACCUUUUUAUUGAAAUAUAGUUGAUUUAUGUGUUAGUUUCAGGUGUACAGUAAAGUGAUUCUGUGUGUGUGUGUGUGUGUGUGUGUGUGUGUGUGUGUAUUCUUUUUUAUAUGCUCUUCCAUUAUAGGUUAUUAUAAGAUACUGAAUAUAGUUCCCACCAAGCUGGUCUCUUAAGAAACUGAAGGUGGUGUCUAGGAGCCAAGAACAACCUCUAGCCAACAGCCAACAAGAAGUUGAAGCCCUCAGUCCUGCAAUCUCAAGGAACUGAAUUCUGUCAACAUAGCAAUAGAAAACUAGUACAUCAUACAAAGAUGCAGGAGGAAGAGGAGAAGACAAAGCUCCCCCUUUCCAGCUGGAGGUGAGGCUAAACUGAUAUAGUUUGGAGAUGCUGUGAUGCUAAGGAACAUGAGAAUGAUACCAACCCAGGGAAGA
rnacentral:lncRNA from 1 species